AAACAAAAGGGUAUGAAAUUCAAAGUAAUGCAUUAUACUUUUCUUCCUGUCAGGUCAAGAUGCAUGCAGCCUGGAGACAACACUGCAUUACAGCUUUGCUUAUGCCCAUCAAGUUCAUUACCCUCAUUAUGCACAACAGGUGGGCCCACUGUUUUUUAAGACACAUCGGAAGUGCCAGUGUUUUGAUGUGUGUUCAGAAGCCUCUGGAUCACAAAUAUUUUACCUCCUUGAUGAGGAAGUGACAGUUGGGAGGGGAGCUAAUUCUGUUGUUGGUAUGCUCCACCAUCACUUUAAAUACCAUAGUAUAGUCAGAAGUUUUC